rnacentral:rRNA from 1 species
AUGCGGCAGGGUUGGUUAUCUAAUUGGCUAGUCAAACAUGAGGUGGUUCAUAGAUCUUUGGGCUUUGAUCACCGAGGAAUAGAGACUUUACAAAUAAAAGCAGGGGAUUGGGAUUCCAUUGCUGUCAUUUUAUAUGUAUAUGGUUACAAUUAUUUAUGCUCCCAAUGUGCUUAUGAUGUAGCACCCGGUGGAUCUUUAGCUAGCAUGUAUCAUCUUACGAGAAUACAAUAUGGUAUAGAUAAUCCAGAAGCUUUUAAUCAGUUUAAUUUCCAUGCUUGUAGUAGUAAUUAA